GACAGAGGGUGCAAACGUUUGUUCGGAAUUACUGGGCGUAAAGCGUGUGUAGGCGGCUAUGUAAGUCGGAUGUGAAAGCCCCGGGCUCAACCCGGGAAGUGCACUCGAUACUGCGUAGCUUGAGUCUCGGAGAGGUUGGUGGAAUUCUCGGUGUAGAGGUGAAAUUCGUAGAUAUCGAGAGGAACACCGGUGGCGAAGGCGGCCAACUGGACGAAGACUGACGCUGAGACACGAAAGCGUGGGGAGCAAACAGG
rnacentral:rRNA from 1 species